rnacentral:rRNA from 1 species
CACGUAGGGUGCGAGCGUUGUCCGGAAUUAUUGGGCGUAAAGAGCUCGUAGGCGGUCUGUCGCGUCGGCUGUGAAAUCCCGAGGCUCAACCUCGGGUCUGCAGUCGAUACGGGCAAACUAGAGUAUUGCAGGGGAGACUGGAAUUCCUGGUGUAGCGGUGAGAUGCGCAGAUAUCAGGAGGAACACCGGUGGGGAAGGCGGGUCUCUGGGCAAUAACUGACGUUGAGGAGCGAAAGCGUGGGGAGCGAACAGG